rnacentral:rRNA from 1 species
UGGGGAAUCUUGCGCAAUGCGCGAAAGCGUGACGCAGCAACGCCGCGUGCGGGAAGACGGCCUUCGGGUUGUAAACCGCUUUCAGUUGGGACGAAGCUUCGCCGGUUAAUAGCCGGCCGGAGUGACGGUACCUUCACAAGAAGCCCCGGCUAACUACGUGCCAGCAGCCGCGGUAAUACGUAGGGGGCAAGCGUUGUCCGGAAUCAUUGGGCGUAAAGCGCGUGUAGGCGGCUCGAUAAGUCUGCUGUGAAAGUCCAGGGCUCAACCCUGGGAUGCCGGUGGAUACUGUCGAGCUCGAGUCCGGAAGAGGCGAGUGGAAUUCCUGGUGUAGCGGUGAAAUGCGCAGAUAUCAGGAGGAACACCAAUGGCGAAGGCAGCUCGCUGGGACGUGACUGACGCUGAGACGCGAAAGCGUGGGGAGCAAACAGGAUUAGAUACCCGUGUAGUCC